CAGAGCUUACUGAGAUGCUGAACCUGGAGAGAUAAAGUAAAGCUGGAUAAAAAACCAAGAUGCACAAACUUUUCCAACGAAGUUAGAACCCUGGAAUCUUAUGUGGAAAAAUCACAAGUUCAGUGUCUGCCUGUGAUAUAGAGUAUGUUCCAAGAUCAACUGGAAUAUCAAGCAAGAUACCAUCUGAAGGAAAUGGAAAUACAGAAGAAAGGAAGGGAAAGGGAAAGAACAUCAUCUACAGCUCUGUGAGCACUCUCUGUGGUUGUCUAAUAAUAAAAUUGUCUGAGGAAGCAGUU